CACACACACACAUCAUAAACGUAACUUCCUAUAUAGCAAAACACAAAAUGAACGUGUGAAACAUAGGAUUAAAAUGUUUACUCACUGUCCAAAGUUGUACAUGUAGCAACGUGCGUCUGAAAUAACGCCGCUGUCCGAAGCCUGGCUGUUACUGUUUUCGGCGUGUUUACAUGUACAUGCGGGAUAAUAAUAACACCCCCAAGCAAAUAAUAAAAAUAAGAAUCCGCAAAUUUAUAAAAGAUUGUUAAAAGAAGUGAUCAAUAUGCAACAUAAACAACAUGUAAUAUUGAAACGCACAUACAUAGGUCAAUAGAUCUUAUUCGUAAGUCAACGGUUGCAUCCACCAUGUUUUCGUGUACAUUUUAAGAUCCCCCCCCCCCACCCGAAAACUAUCGGUAUAUGCAAUAAAUGGUUAUACAGUUCAAAUAUUGGGAUUGGGUUUAUCUUCAUGUCAUACUUAAAUAACAAGGUAAGUAAAGAGGUACUGAAUUAAUAUUACUUUAAAACUGUUGAAUGGUUGCAUAUAAAUAAAAAUUAAAAAAUAUAAAGAGAGGAAAGGAGACAAACAGAGAGAGGAGAAAGAGAUGUACGAGUAUACUAUAUAUAGGUGUGUUUUAAUAUAGAAUUAACAUAGACAGAUUUAAAUAUUUACAAUAUUAUAAUUAAAUUGCACUGAAUAGUGUUUUUGUUUCACUUUUAUACCUAGAGAACUUUCACGUAAAUGUACAUGAAACGUUGUAAAAUUCUAACGUUACGUUGCAAAAUUGCGACGUCAAUAACAAUCUGGCCAAAACAAUGGGUACUUUGAACGUCAAUAACUAAAAAAAAAAUGAAAAGAUAUCGGAAAAAAGAUAACAUAUUUGAAGAAUAGAUAUUCUUGGCUUCUGUCCCCGAGAAUAAUAUCAUGUUCUGACUAAGGGCCAUUUUUGGCUAUUCGUGGCUCUGGUUCUUUGAUAUUUUUUUUUUACGUUUGCGAAUAAAAUCUGGCGAUCCUUGAUCUGAAAUAACUACAGAUUGCACAUAUAUGGUCAUACAACAUGCCUCAUCACUGUUGUGUCCCCCAGUGCACAAGUGACAGAAGACAGGAGUCUUGCAAGGGUUUGUUAUUUCAUGUAUUCCCCAAGGAUAAGGAACGUUCCAAAAAAUGGUUGAUUGCAAUAAGAAGAGACAUUGGUCCAGAAUUUAAAAUAACCAAGGGAACUCGAGUUUGUUCAUUGCAUUUUGAAAAGAAUGCUUAUGCACCAGCAACUCCUUACACAAAAUUAAGGAAGUUGAAAAAGGACAGUAUUCCCUCUGUAUUCAACUGGACGAUAGCAAAGAAACCAACCCGUCGAGUUCUAUAUAGACAACAGUUAACGAUUCCCUCUAGGACACCCUUGAAAGCAGAUUCUAUACGGAUUGAGUCACUAGUGGUACAUGCCGAACAUUCGUAUGCCAAUCCAGUACCAGCCACAGAGCCAGAGGUACCGGAGUCCGCAACAGUGCUUGAUGAUGAAACAUCUGAAAUCUUGGAAACUUCAGGAAGUACUGAUGAUAGUUUGGCUGAAAUCGAUCAGACGCCAUUGAUGAGAGCAAUAAUUGAUUUGAUGCGCAUUAUUGCUCGCAAAAUUACAUUUGAAGUUCGUAUAAAUGAUUUAAUGAUCAUUUUAAUUCCAUUGAUGUUAUUUUAUGUAAUCAUUUAAAAGUCUGUUGUAUAAGGAAUUAAUGGUGUAGCAGCCAAUUUCUACAUUUAAAUUUUUGCGCCAAUUUGUACACGUUAUCCGCGUGCUACGUCAUAGUUUUUAGGGCACAUAUAUUUUUUGUGUAUGCACAAGCGCGCUGCGAAGAAUGUGAGUAUUAUGUUCCUGUUUCACUGGACAUUGUACUGAACUGCCGUUUCCUAGAGAAACUACUUAUUUGGUAAGACAAUGAUGAACAUUAGCACAUUCCAUAGAUUUAUUUGAAAAUGUGUAUUUGAAUUGAUAGUGUAAUAUGUUUUACGGCGUGACCGUGUUUGAGGGCGAAGCAAAAAAGUUUUGACAUUAGUAUCUAUAUCCAAAACAGGACAAAAACAACUCGAAGUUAGCACGCGGACGGAGCUGUAUCAAAGCAUCCUAAUUUUGGACAUUUGAUCCGCCUAUAUAUUGAACGCGGGAAAUAUAACGCAAUUGAUGUAAACAGUACAUUGUGACGUCAUAUUCAGCGUCGUUAUUUAGCAAAGUUACAAACAAAGUGUUUGAACCACAACAAAAAACAUGGCGUUAAUCGUGGAGUGAUUAUAUAUGAUUAAGAAAAUAAGAUUUACAUGCUUUUACGGAUUUUAUGUGUAACAUCUCAGAACGACGUAAACUAGGGUAGACGAGAUUCAAAAUGGAGGAAUACAUGUCCACGCGCUAAUAUUCGAAUCGACGCCAUUAGUACCAAACUUUUCAAGUUCCAUAGGUAUGGUUUAAUUUUUCAUUAUUUUCCUAUAUUUUCGUUUUAAACAUGUAUAUACGUGUUACCUAUAGGGAGAGCUCCGCUCUCACGGCCCUUCGGGCCGUGAGAGGGCUUCGCCCUCUAUAAAGCAUGUUCUCCGAGUAAACACAUGUGUAUGUAGUUCAUGUCCCGAAUAUUUAUGCAAACUGUGUUUACAGAAUUACAGUAUUGUGCAAUAUAAUUCAAUGUUAGUAAUAUGUAUACGGUGUGACCGUUGGGCCGAGCGAAGCAUGUACGUAACUCCGUGUCCCGAGUGGUAAUCAUAAUUCCGUUAAGUACGGUAGAUUAUGAUUCUUUUAUAAAUAUAUAUUUUGAAUGAAAUUUCCUUGCGCUAAACACCCAGUAACAUCUCAAUAUUAAAGGAGUUUAUAUGGGGACAACAGUUUCACAUGAUCCGCCUAUUCGUUGAACGCGGCAAAUAAAACGCAAGGCGACGUAAACUGUGCAUUGUGACGUCACAUUUAACCUCGACUUUUUUCUCUUUUUCAAAGCAAACAAUUAUAAACAACAAUAAUACAUUCCGUAUGCAACGAAAAAGGCCGUUAAAACCAAACAAAAUUAACCAAUAAAUUCAAAAUGGUUAAAAAGUAACCAUAAUUUUAUCGUAUCUUCUUAUUUAAAGAAACUCAUGAACUCGUUCAUCUAUUUAGUCGUAUUACGGUUUUAUAUGUAUUUAUUUGCUAAAACCUGUUACAAUGAUAAUUAUACUAUUCACUUUGAACAAAAUGAGUGUUUAAAUUACGAAUUGCACGUUAGAGUCUUCUAUUAUUGGCAUUCAAAAUAAAACACGAAUAACUGUUGAAACAGGUAAUGAAAAAAUAAAUGGCGGCGCCCAUAUGGAUCACGAAAAUUUCAGUGAACGUAUAUAGAGAUGAUCUCUUUUUCUUUUGCUGAUUUUGACUUUUUUCUUUUACAUACGUGUUACCUUUAGAGCCUUGCUUCGCGGACGGGCCUUCGGCCCGUCCGAGCUUCGCUCGGUAUUAAGAUAUAUAUGACAUAUAGUAAGACCAUGUGUAGAUUAUUUUUGCUCAUAAGGUGAAAACUAGUUGCACUCAAACUUUUUGUAACUUCAGGGGCAAUAACUCUGUUUUGUUGUGCAAUACAGAUGCUCUUUAUAUUUAUUGUAAUUUAUAUCAGAGUACUAUUUGUUUGGUGCAGUCUGUUAUAAACAGCAAUUUUCUGUAUUGAACUCAGUUUUUGGAUAGUUUGAAUUAUUAUUAUACAUGAUCAUAUGUGUUGUCAGUAUCAAUUCACUGUUUACAAUUAUUGUUUUGUUUUAUUACAGUAUAUCGUAUGAAGUUGAGGAAGUCACAUGAUGCCAAUCAUUGACUUAAGAAUAAAUUUUCCAGGCAUACGCA